rnacentral:tRNA from 1 species
GCCCGGGUGGCUCAGCGGUUGAGCGUCUGCCUUCGGCUCAGGGCAUGUCCCCGGGGCCGCGGGAUCGAGUCCCGUGUCGGGCU